GAUGAACGCUGGCGGCGUGCCUAAUACAUGCAAGUCGAGCGAACGGACGAGAAGCUUGCUUCUCUGAUGUUAGCGGCGGACGGGUGAGUAACACGUGGAUAACCUACCUAUAAGACUGGGAUAACUUCGGGAAACCGGAGCUAACACCGGAUAAUAUUUUGAACCGCAUGGUUCAAAAGUGAAAGACGGUCUUGCUGUCACUUAUAGAUGGAUCCGCGCUGCAUUAGCUAGUUGGUAAGGUAACGGCUUACGAAGGCAACGAUGCAUAGCCGACCUGAGAGGGUGAUCGGCCACACUGGAACUGAGACACGGUCCAGACUCCUACGGGAGGCAGCAGUAGGGAAUCUUCCGCAAUGGGCGAAAGCCUGGCGGAGCAACGCCGCGUGAGUGAUGGAGGUCUUCGGAUCGUAAAACUCUGUUAUUAGUGAAGAACAUAUGUGUAAGUAACUGUGCACAUCUUGACGGUACCUAAUCAGAAAGCCACGGCUAACUACGUG
rnacentral:rRNA from 1 species